CUCUCUCUCUCUCUCUCUCCACUGUAACCACCCUAGUCCGAUCGAUCGGGCCAUGGCGCUCUGCCUCCUUUUGUACUUGGUCUCCGGCUACUCGGUGUUCCACGCCUACGACGUCGACGAGAUCAGAUCGGACAGAGCACAGAGGCCUUCCGCAACUUCGUCCUCGACCUCACCCGCUUCGGUAAGGUCGUCAAGCUCGUCGCUUUCCACCCCUUCUCCUUUACCCUGGACGCUCUCAACCAAUGCAACGCCAUUUCUGAAGGGCUUAUUACCGAGGAGCUGAGGAACUUCUUGGAGAUUAAUUUUCCAAAGGUGAAAAAAAGGGAAGAAGGCAAAGUUCAGCCUUGGCAUUGCGGAGCCGAAGGUUGUGUCAGAGAUAUUUAAGGCUCAUUGCUGGAAAUGUUCCAUGGUUGUAGUAGUUUUUCUUGUUGGAGUGAGAAGUACGGGGGAAUAGGUUUCUAACACCUGUACCAGAGAGUUGUGGGAGGAUUGACACAUCUUUUUUGGCUUUUUUAGCAGUGUCCCUCUCCUUUUUAUGGAUGCUUUGAUGAACCCCUAAUGCUUGCUUGCAUGACCAGAGAGUAAUGAUUCCUUUGUUGACUCAAGAGGAUCGAGGAGUGACUCCAUGACCAACUCAGCUAGAGGUUUAGUGACAUAUUAUACAUGAUGGAUGAAACAAAAACAGUGGAUUUGGCUUGUUUAUCCUCCCACUAGCAAUGCAACACCUUGCUUCAUGUCACUCAAGGGAUCAUUUAUUAAACUCAUGUAUCAGUUUCAAGGACAACAAAAUAAAAGAUUUGAUUUGGUCAUGUCCACCUAGGAAUGAAAUCUGGAUCUGGCAA